rnacentral:rRNA from 1 species
AUUGAACGCUGGCGGCAGGCCUAACACAUGCAAGUCGAACGAGUGGCGGACGGGUGAGUAAUGUCUGGGAAACUGCCUGAUGGAGGGGGAUAACUACUGGAAACGGUAGCUACUACCGCAUACCCUCGGAUGUGCCCAGAUGGGAUUAGCUAGUAGGUGGGGUAACGGCUCACCGAGGCGACGAUCCCUAGCUGGUCUGCGAGGAUGACCAGCCACACUGGAACUGAGACACGGUCCAGACUCCUACGGGAGGCAGCAGUGGGGAAUAUUGCACAAUGGGCGCAAGCCUGAUGCAGCCAUGCCGCGUGUAUGAAGAAGGCCUUCGGGUUGUAAAGUACUUUCAUCGGGGAGGCGUUACCCGCAGAAGAAGCACCGGCUAACUCCGUGCCAGCAGCCGCGGUAAUUC